AGGAUCAGCUCAUGUGUGACACGAGUGUGUCCGGGCUCAGCCCAGAUGGAUUUGGGAUGUGAAGGAUUGGCUCAUGUGUGACACGAGUGUGUCCGGGCUCAGCUCAGAAGGAUUUGGGAUGUGGGGAGGUGAGGGAGGGGCUCAUGUGUGACACGAGUGUGUCUGUGCUCAGCUCAGAUGGAUUUGGGAUGUGGGAGAUGAAGGAUCAGCUCCUGUGUGACACGAGUGUGUCUGUGCUCAGCCCAGAGGGAUUUGGAAUGUGGGAGGUGAAGGAUGAGCUCACGUGUGACAUGAGUGUGUCCGGGCUCAGCCAGGCAGAAAUGGGGCUGGGGGAGGUGAAGAAUGAGCUCCUGUGUGACACGAGUGUGUCCGGGCUCAGCCCAGACGGAUUUGGGACGUGAAGGAUGAGC